GAUGAAGAACGUAGUGAAAUGCGAUAAGUAAUGUGAAUUGCAGAAUUCAGUGAAUCAUCGAAUCUUUGAACGCAUCUUGCGCUCCUUGGUAUUCUGAGGAGCAUGCCUGUUUGAGUGUCAUUAAAUUCUCAACUACACUGACUUUGAAUUGGUGUGGCUUGGAUUUGGGGGGAAAAUUGUUGUGGGCUUUUUGUAUAGUCUGCUCCCCUGAAAUUGAUUAGCGGUACCUUUGUGGAACUGUCUACAGGUGUGAUAAUUAUCUACAUCUUAGACAUCUGCUGGAAUGCUGCUUUCUAAACCUUACUUGUAUUGACAAUCUUGACCUCAAAUCAGGUAGGACUACCCGAUGAACUUAAGCAUAUCAAUCAGCGGAGGA
rnacentral:misc_RNA from 1 species